rnacentral:rRNA from 1 species
AUUGAACGCUGGCGGCAUGCCUUACACAUGCAAGUCGAACGGCAGCACGGGUGCUUGCACCUGGUGGCGAGUGGCGAACGGGUGAGUAAUACAUCGGAACAUGUCCUGUAGUGGGGGAUAGCCCGGCGAAAGCCGGAUUAAUACCGCAUACGAUCUACGGAUGAAAGCGGGGGACCUUCGGGCCUCGCGCUAUAGGGUUGGCCGAUGGCUGAUUAGCUAGUUGGUGGGGUAAAGGCCUACCAAGGCGACGAUCAGUAGCUGGUCUGAGAGGGCGACCAGCCACACUGGGACUGAGACACGGCCCAGACUCCUACGGGAGGCAGCAGUGGGGAAUAUUGGACAAUGGGCGAAAGCCUGAUCCAGCAAUGCCGCGUGUGUGAAGAAGGCCUUCGGGUUGUAAAGCACUUUUGUUCGGAAAGAAAUCCUUGGCCCUAAUACGGUCGGGGGAUGACGGUACCGGAAGAAUAAGCACCGGCUAACUACGUG